UACGAAGGGUGCAAACGUUGCUCGGAAUCAUUGGGCGUAAAGCGCACGUAGGCGGCCUUGUAAGUCGGAUGUGAAAUCCCUCGGCUCAACCGAGGACGUGCAUCCGAAACUGCAAGCUCGAGUAUGGAAGAGGGUCGCGGAAUUCCCGGUGUAGAGGUGAAAUUCGUAGAUAUCGGGAGGAACACCAGUGGCGAAGGCGGCGACCUGGGCCAAUACUGACGCUGAGGUGCGAAGCGUGGGGAGCAAACAGG
rnacentral:rRNA from 1 species